CGAAAGUCUGACGGAGCAACGCCGCGUGAGUGAUGAAGGUUUUCGGAUCGUAAAGCUCUGUUGUUAGGGAAGAACAAGUACCGUUCGAAUAGGGCGGUACCUUGACGGUACCUAACCAGAAAGCCACGGCUAACUACGUGCCAGCAGCCGCGGUAAUACGUAGGUGGCAAGCGUUGUCCGGAAUUAUUGGGCGUAAAGGGCUCGCAGGCGGUUUCUUAAGUCUGAUGUGAAAGCCCCCGGCUCAACCGGGGAGGGUCAUUGGAAACUGGGGAACUUGAGUGCAGAAGAGGAGAGUGGAAUUCCACGUGUAGCGGUGAAAUGCGUAGAGAUGUGGAGGAACACCAGUGGCGAAGGCGACUCUCUGGUCUGUAACUGACGCUGAGGAGCGAAAGCGUGGGGAGCGAACAGGAUUAGAUACCCUGGUAGUCCACGCCGUAAACGAUGAGUGCUAAGUGUUAGGGGGUUUCCGCCCCUUAGUGCUGCAGCUAACGCAUUAAGCACUCCGCCUGGGGAGUACGGUCGCAAGACUGAAACUCAAAGGAAUUGACGGGGGCCCGCACAAGCGGUGGAGCAUGUGGUUUAAUUCGAAGCAACGCGAAGAACCUUACCAGGUCUUGACAUCCUCUGACAAUCCUAGAGAUAGGACGUCCCCUUCGGGGGCAGAGUGACAGGUGGUGCAUGGUUGUCGUCAGCUCGUGUCGUGAGAUGUUGGGUUAAGUCCCGCAACGAGCGCAACCCUUGAUCUUAGUUGCCAGCAUUCAGUUGGGCACUCUAAGGUGACUGCCGGUGACAAACCGGAGGAAGGUGGGGAUGACGUCAAAUCAUCAUGCCCCUUAUGACCUGGGCUACACACGUGCUACAAUGGACAGAAC
rnacentral:rRNA from 1 species